GAGGAGACGCUGGCGGCGUGGAUUAGGCAUGCAAGUCGAACGGUAUCAUCCUUUCGGGGAUGAGAGAGUGGCGAACGGGUGAGUAACACGUAGGUGAUCUACCCUCAAGACGGGGACAACCCAGGGAAACUUGGGGCUAAUACCGGAUGUGAGCUAUCGCGAGAUAGUUUGAAAGGUGGCUUCGGCUGCCGCUUGAGGAUGAGCCUGCGUCCUAUUAGCUAGUUGGUGAGGUAACGGCUCACCGAGGCAGUGAUAGGUAGGCGGCCUUAACGGGUGGUCGCCCACACUGGGAUUGAGAUACGGCCCAGACUCCUACGGGAGGCAGCAGUCGAGAAUAGUCUACAAUGGUCGAAAGACUGAUAGUGCGACGCCGCGUGAACGAAGAAGCCCUUCGGGGUGUAAAGUUCUUUUAUAUGUGAGCAGUGACACCCAUAUUAAUAGUAUGGGUGUAGAGAUAUUAGCAUAUGAAUAAGCAACGGCUAACUCCGUG
rnacentral:rRNA from 1 species